rnacentral:lncRNA from 1 species
CUUCACAAAACUAAGAGAAGGUAUUAAUUAAAACAAGGGAAGAAAUCAAGGUUACCAGUUUUAGGUGCAGCGUUUUGCACAUUUCAGAAUAUUGUUCCGUACACGGAAUUAAAAUUAAUUAUAUCUUUAAAGUAUAUGAAGAGCCUGAGGAAAUUGCUGCUGAAGAGGAAGAGCCAGUUCCUGUUGCUGAAGAGGAGCCAGAAGCCCCACCACCAGCAGUACCUGAAGAACCCAAGAAGAUUGUUCCAGAGAAGAAAGUUCCUGUUAUCAAAAAAACAGAAGCUCCACCUCCCAAAGUACCUGAGAUGGCAAAGAAAGUUGUCCCAGUGAAGAAAGUCCCAACUGUUAAGAAGCCAGAAAUACCAGCAGCUCAAGGUAUUCCCAUCAUCCCUGAUAUCAUUAGUAGCAUUGUUUGUUGAAAGUAAUCUGUUAUGUGUCCUUGUUGUUGUAUAACUAGGGACAAAAAUGUCCUUAUUUCUUUCCAAUAAUUU